UACGAAGGGAGCUAGCGUUGUUCGGAAUCACUGGGCGUAAAGCGCACGUAGGCGGAUUUGUCAGUCAGGGGUGAAAUCCCGGGGCUCAACCUCGGAACUGCCUUUGAUACAGCAAGUCUUGAGUUCGAGAGAGGUGGGUGGAAUUCCUAGUGUAGAGGUGAAAUUCGUAGAUAUUAGGAAGAACACCGGUGGCGAAGGCGGCCCACUGGCUCGAUACUGACGCUGAGGUGCGAAAGCGUGGGAGCAAACAGG
rnacentral:rRNA from 1 species